GGGCUGUAGACUAAUUGGUUAGGUCGGUUCCCCGGAAAGGAGGAGAUGCGGGUUCGAAUCCGACCGAUGCCCA